rnacentral:rRNA from 1 species
ACGCUCGACACCUAUGGGAGGCAGCAGUGGGGAAUAUUGCACAAUGGGGGAAACCCUGAUGCAGCGACGCCGCGUGGAGGAAGAAGGUCUUCGGAUUGUAAACUCCUGUUGUUGGGGAAAAAGNGGAUGGUACCCAACAAGGAAGUGACGGCUAACUACGUGCCGGCAGCCGCGGUAAUCUGAGCGGGCUGGCAAGGC